GAUCAACGCUGGCGGCGUGCCUAAUGCAUGCAAGUCGAACGGGGCAUCCUUCGUGGUGCUUGCGUGGCGGACGGGUGAGGAACACGAGGGCAAGCUGCCCUGCGUUGGGGGGUAGCCGCCGGAAACGGCGGGUAAUUCGCAUGAGCUCAUCGCCCGGUGGGGGGGAUGAGGAAAGGCUCGGGAGAGUCGCCUCGGGAUGCGCUUGCGGCCGUUUGGCUUGUUGGUGGGGUAACGGCCUCCCAAGGCGGUGAGCGGAAGCUGGUGUGAGAGGACGGCCAGCCAAGCGGGGUGUGAGACAGGGCCCCGACCCCCACGGGGGGGAGCAGCAAGAAAUUUUACGCAAGGGGCGAAAGUCAGACGGAGCUACGCCGCGUGGGAGAGGACGCCUUGGGGGGUGUAGAGCCCUUAUCUUGGAGGCAGCGAGCGACGGUACCCGAAGAAGAAGGAACGGCUAAAUACGUG
rnacentral:rRNA from 1 species